rnacentral:rRNA from 1 species
CUGGCUCAGAACGAACGCUGGCGGCGUGCUUAACACAUGCAAGUCGAACGCGAAAGGGACUUCGGUCCUGAGUAAAGUGGCGCACGGGUGAGUAACGCGUAGAUAACCUGUCUUCAUGUCUGGAAUAAUACGCCGAAAGGGGUACUAAUACCGGAUAUUCUUGCUUUUCAUAAGUUAUGCAAGCAAAGGUGGCCUCUGCAUAUGCUACUGCAUGAAGAGGGGUCUGCGUACCAUUAGCUAGUAGGUGGGGUAAUGGCCUACCUAGGCGACGAUGGUUAGCGGGUCUGAGAGGAUGAUCCGCCACACUGGCACUGGAACACGGGCCAGACUCCUACGGGAGGCAGCAGUGAGGAAUAUUGCGCAAUGGGGGAAACCCUGACGCAGCGGCGCCGCGUGAGUGAGGAAGGCCUUCGGGUCGUAAAGCUCUGUCAAGAGGAAAGAAGUGUACAAUGGCUAAUACCUGUUGUAUUUGACGGUACCUCUAAAGGAAGCACCGGCUAACUCCGUGCCAGCCGCGGC